GGGUGAGUAACACGUGGGUAACCUGCCCAUCAGAAGGGGAUAACACUUGGAAACAGGUGCUAAUACCGUAUAACAAUCGAAACCGCAUGGUUUUGAUUUGAAAGGCGCUUUCGGGUGUCACUGAUGGAUGGACCCGCGGUGCAUUAGCUAGUUGGUGAGGUAACGGCUCACCAAGGCCACGAUGCAUAGCCGACCUGAGAGGGUGAUCGGCCACAUUGGGACUGAGACACGGCCCAAACUCCUACGGGAGGCAGCAGUAGGGAAUCUUCGGCAAUGGACGAAAGUCUGACCGAGCAACGCCGCGUGAGUGAAGAAGGUUUUCGGAUCGUAAAACUCUGUUGUUAGAGAAGAACAAGGAUGAGAGUAACUGUUCAUCCCUUGACGGUAUCUAACCAGAAAGCCACGGCUAACUACGUGCCAGCAGCCGCGGUAAUACGUAGGUGGCAAGCGUUGUCCGGAUUUAUUGGGCGUAAAGCGAGCGCAGGCGGUUUCUUAAGUCUGAUGUGAAAGCCCCCGGCUCAACCGGGGAGGGUCAUUGGAAACUGGGAGACUUGAGUGCAGAAGAGGAGAGUGGAAUUCCAUGUGUAGCGGUGAAAUGCGUAGAUAUAUGGAGGAACACCAGUGGCGAAGGCGGCUCUCUGGUCUGUAACUGACGCUGAGGCUCGAAAGCGUGGGGAGCAAACAGGAUUAGAUACCCUGGUAGUCCACGCCGUAAACGAUGAGUGCUAAGUGUUGGAGGGUUUCCGCCCUUCAGUGCUGCAGCUAACGCAUUAAGCACUCCGCCUGGGGAGUACGACCGCAAGGUUGAAACUCAAAGGAAUUGACGGGGGCCCGCACAAGCGGUGGAGCAUGUGGUUUAAUUCGAAGCAACGCGAAGAACCUUACCAGGUCUUGACAUCCUUUGACCACUCUAGAGAUAGAGCUUCCCCUUCGGGGGCAAAGUGACAGGUGGUGCAUGGUUGUCGUCAGCUCGUGUCGUGAGAUGUUGGGUUAAGUCCCGCAACGAGCGCAACCCUUAUUGUUAGUUGCCAUCAUUCAGUUGGGCACUCUAGCAAGACUGCCGGUGACAAACCGGAGGAAGGUGGGGAUGACGUCAAAUCAUCAUGCCCCUUAUGACCUGGGCUACACACGUGCUACAAUGGGAAGUACAACGAGUUGCGAAGUCGCGAGGCUAAGCUAAUCUCUUAAAGCUUCUCUCAGUUCGGAUUGCAGGCUGCAACUCGCCUGCAUGAAGCCGGAAUCGCUAGUAAUCGCGGAUCAGCACGCCGCGGUGAAUACGUUCCCG
rnacentral:rRNA from 1 species